rnacentral:lncRNA from 1 species
UCUUCUCAUUCUUGAUCCAUCUUCUCUAACAUGAAUCUCAGUCAUUUGGAUCUUUGAUUAACCAUUGAUCUUUAUCCACGAUGUCAACACUUGAACUACAGUCUAUCUCCUUUUUUCUUGAUGUAGAAGAGAUCACCCAACACUUGGGCGUAUGGGAAGGUGGGAUGCCCAACCCUUAGGCAUUGGAGAGAGAGGAGAA